rnacentral:rRNA from 1 species
AUGCAGCACCCCUUGUGCGGUGAUAGGGUGGGAGACCCUUACGCCAAGAAGCAGAAGCAACGCAAGGGGGCUGCGGCAAAUCCGCGGCAUGCUUUGCCUGCGCUGCCGGCGGCUCCGUCGUCGUGCAAGGGCACGGCGGCCGAACCAAUCCCGGUGGAGGAGGCGGAUGGUUCGGAAUGCUUCAAGUGCGGGCGUGUGGGCCACUUCCAGAUCAACUGCGAGUUCAAGCCCCUUUGUGUGCUGUGCCAACAGGAAGGCCACGCCUCGGCCUACUGCCCCACCCGCGGCAAGCCGCUGCAACUGCAGAUAAUGGGGAACGCGAUCCCGGGCCAGGGCUUCUUCUGCUUGCCGUUUGUGGAGGGGCCUGAGGACGCGGGUCCGGGGGGGCCUGGGUGCAGAUGCGGCCAUCAUCUCUGCGCCCUCGGGCCUGCUCUCGGCCAGCAUGCUGGAGGCGGAGCUCCCCCACCUCUUCGAAGGCGAGUGGGAUUGGCAAGUGCAUCAGGUGGGUGCGGACAGCUUCUCGGUGUUUUUUUCCCAACAAGGCGAUGCUGCGGAUGGCGACGCGGAGUGGCAAGCUUUUCCUCUCCCUCAACAACAUCACGGCGGACAUUCGGGAGUCGCGCGAGGACGAGCCCAAGGCCAUGUCCAUGCCGGAAGUUUGGGUGA